UUGACUAUGAAAUUGUAAAAUCUGCCGUCCUCAGAGCGUAUGAGUUGGUUCCCGAAGCGUACCACCAAAAACUCCAGCGUUUCAGAAAAUAUGAUAACCAAACAUAUGUUGAAUUUGCUCGUGAAAAGGAGGCUCUGUUUGAACGCUGGUGUGCUUCUCAGGGGGUAAAAGAUUUUGCCCAGUUAAAGUCCUUGAUGAUAAUGGAGGAUUUUAAAAACUGUCUUCCUGAAAGAGUGACAACAUAUCUUAAUGAGCAGAAAGUCUCAGACGUGUCUAAGGCCGCUGUAUUGGCGGAUGAAUAUGUGCUCACUCAUAAGGCAGUUUUUGGGGAGCGAUCCUCUGGUUUUAGAAAAAUAGAAACAU